rnacentral:lncRNA from 1 species
AAAGUGUACUCAAUAUCCUUUCCACUUCUACUAUUAUCAAGCUUGAUGACCAACACAUUGUUGACAAACAACGAGAAAUAUGAGUCAUUGCUAAAAGUUCAAAAAGCCCUCAACAUCCUCCCCCCGCCUUUGUCAAAUUUGAGUCAGCUGUAGGUCAAGGACCAUGAGGUGGAUACCAACCCCCCUCCCCCCUCCCUCCUCCCUCCCUUUUAUCUGUCAAUUUGUCAAUUUGAGUCAGCUGUAGCAAGGACCAUGAGGUGGAUGCCAAUAUCAGUGGGUUGAAUGGCGGAAAGUGUACUCAAUAUCCUUUCCACUUCUACUAUUAUUAAGCUUGAUGACCAACACAUUGUUGACAAACAACGAGAAAUAUGAGUAAUCCGUCUGUCAGUUUUAUAUAAUCCCUCAGCCCAAGCGCUCAGCGCUGAUCCACAGAGCAAAGUAAUCAAUAUCUUUGGCAUAGAUGGAUUCCGAGAGCCUAACUCUUCGACCAUUCAGGGUAAGCGAUGUGGAUGACUUAAUGCUGUGGGCGGGCGAUGAGCAAGUCACUCGAACCAUCCGAUGGAAGACCAUCACCUCUAAGGAGGAAGCCUUGACCUUCAUCAAAGAAGUCUGCAUCCCCCACCCUUUUUAUCGAUCCAUAUGCAUAGAUGACCGCUCCAUCGGCUUUGUUUAUGUCAUCAGGGGGUCGGGCGCCGACAGACAGAAGGCGAGCAUGGGGUAUGGUGUAGCUGCAAAGUAUUGGGGGCAGGGGAUUGCCACCAAAACUGUGAAGAUGGUUAUAUCAGAGGUGUUCAAGGACUUCCCUGAUCUGGUAAGGUUGCAAGCAGUUGCUGUGGUGGAGAACAUUGCUUCUCAGAGGGUGUUGGAGAAAGCUGGAUUCACCAGGGAGGCUUUACUCAGGAAACACUCAUUUCUGAAGGGCCAAUUGAAAGACUUGGUGAUAUAUAGUCUUUUGUCCACUGAUUCGAAUGGGGCCGUGGAUGAUGAAGUAUGAGAAAUAGCAUCAUGUAUUUGUAUAAUGGGAUAUUAUUUUUAAUGGAAAAUGGGUAACUAAUUCCUCUCACAGACUCCAUUUUGCUUAGGAGUAUAAGUUACAGUAAGCUGAUGUUCAAUCCUUGCAGCUUCACAAAACUUAGCAAAUUUGUCAGCAGCAUAUUCAGUCCCAUUAUCAGACCUAAUCACCUUAAUUCUACAACCACUUCGAUUUUCAAUCCAUGUUUUGAACUUCCAAAACACACCAGCAACCUCAAACUUCUAUUUAAGAAAACAAACCCAACAUUUUUUGCUAAAGUCAUCAAUAAGAACCAUAAAAUACAUGUUACCACUUAAGGAUGCAAUCCUCAAAGUUUCAGAAACAUCAAUGUGGAUCAAUUAAAGCUUCUCAACUACCCUCCAUGCCUUGUUAACAAUAAAUGGCAAUUUGGCUUGCUUUCCAAGCUGAUAAACUCCACACACUGCUGCUCCUUCUCCAUUGUAAGUCAUUCCUCAUACAAGAUCCUUUUUCUACAUGUAAUCCAAUACAAAAUAGUGAAAAUGCCCCAUCCUCUUGUGCCAUUACUCAACCUGGUCCAAAGGACAUGGAUAUGCACUAGACUCAUCCUUGUUCCAAUUUAGACCGAAACUUUUGCUAUUCAUUUUCACAGAAAACAGAACACACCAUCUGAGUCAGCAAUCACACACAUUUUAUUCUUAAACACAAUAGAAUAGCCUUUCUCAAGCAAUUGUCCCACACUCAGCAGCUUUUGAUCAAUUUUAGGAAUAAGUAAAUACAUAAGAAAUUAGCUUUAUACCCUGUUGAGCCUUUUAUUGCAAUAGUCUCUUUACCUUUCACCUCAAUAUACUGCCCAUUGUCAAUUCUAACUGUUGACACCUCUGACUUGUUUACUUCGUUGAAAAGGAUUCAUCAAAAGACAUGUGGUUUGUGCAUCCACUGUUUAUAAGCCAAUCAUCACUUGAACUGCUACUAGAAAAACAAGAUGCAACAAAAAGUUGCUCCUCCUAGUGUUGAUCCACUGCUUGAGCUUGGUGUUCUUCUUGUUGUUUGUUUUUACACACCCUCUCCAUAUGCCCCAAUUGUUUGCAUGCCCUGCACUGAAUUUAGGUUUAAACCAACAUUUUUUCUUCAAAUAAGAGGUUUUCUUACAAUAAGGACAUAGAGGGUGAUUGCCCUUGCUACCUCCAUUGUUGUUGCUUUCCCCUUUCUUGCUGUUCUUCUUACUCCACUGUUUCUUUUCUUUGUUGCCUCCUUGAGCUUGAUCAGCCUCUUUCACUUGAAAUGCUCUCUCAAUUGUCUCAUCUUUUCUAUAAGCUCUCCUUUGCUCUUGAGCUUGUAGUACAUUGAUGAGUUCUGCUAAUGUUAUUAUUGACAGAUCUUUGGACUCUUCAAGUGAAGAGAUUUUGGAUUCAAAUCUCUCAGGCAAGGUCACCAAAAUCUUCUCUACUACCCUUAUGUCAGAGAAUUCUUCCCUUAGCAUCUUAAUAUUGUUGGCCAAUAUCAACAUCCUGUCUGUAUAGUCCUUAACUGCUUCUAUCUCCUCCAUUUUCUGCAUUUCAAAUUCCCUCAUCAGGUUCAAGACCUGUUGCUUUGUCUUAAUGUUUCCUUGAUAUUCAUCUUUCAAAAGAUCACAUGCCUGUUUUGCUGUUUAACAUGCCAUGAUCUUUGUAAAUAUUGUCUCUGAAAUUGUAGAGUGGGUGCAGGUCUUGGCCUUAUAUCUCCUCUUUCUUUCCUCUCUGUUGUUCUUGAUCUAUGCUAUUGUUGUAUCCUCAGGAUCUGUUUCCACCAAGUCCCACAAGUCACAUGCUUGCAGGUAUGACUUCAUUUUCACAGCCAAUAUUUGGUAAUUUUCUCCUAUGAAAACUGGAGGUGCAGACAAGAAAUUAUUUCCUGUCAUAUUAGGUUUCAAGAUGAAGGCUAGGUGUUUGAUUUGUUGUGGUUUGUCUCUCAUUGGAUACACACACACUUCACAGGUUCCUAAAGAAAGAGGGCUCUGAUACCACUUUGUAGGUUUUUUAGAGUAAGAACAAUAAAAUAAUAAACACAGAAAUUUGGGCUGAAAAUUGCAUGUCUUGCAAAAUCUAAAUUUAUACAGGAAAAGAAAUAAACAAAGCCAAAAAAUCUACCUACAUAUUUUCAACGGAUUUCUAAUAGCAUUACCAAGUCAACUAUGAAUUCAAAAAAUUCUAAUUAAAAAAAAAUUGUUCUUGCAAUCUUGCAUAAUAUUCUCAACAGAAUACCAACCUUACUGGUUUAUUUUAGCCCAAAUCUUGUAACAAAUAUAGCACUUGUCAUCAUUGACACAUGGUGAACCAUGAUUCAAUUAUUUUUCUUGUUCAAUGAUGGAUUCGAUUAUUAAAACGUUGAUUAUAACAAAGUUAAGGGUUGAAAAAAGAAAUGAGAAAAAGUGGUUUUUUCAAUUAAGAUUAAAAAAAAUCACUUAGUCCAUUAAGACAAAAUUGUAUAAAAAAAGAUGAUUAAAAAAAAAGUGAUUCUAGGAGUAAAGCUUGCUUUAAACCCUUAAGCCACCCCCUAGAUAAGUAAAUUUGAAUCAGCUGAUUGCUCAAGGACCAUGAGGUGGAUACCAAUAUCAUUGGUUCAAAUGGAUUCGGUUCAAUGGUAGAUGGUGUACUUAAUAUUCUUUCCAUAUAUUAUUAUUGAGUAGGAGGACCAAUACCAUGUUAACCAAACAACGAGAAUUUAACAUAUGAAAUUCACAUGAAACAAACUACACCAGUAAACGAGAGAGAGAACGUUCAAUAUUAUAAUAUGGGCAUCCAUCUGUCAGUUUUAUAUAAUCCCUCAGCCCAAGCGCUUAGUGCUGAUCCACAGAGCACAGUAAUCAAUAUUUUUGCAAUAGAUGGACUCCGAGAGGGUUACUUUUCGACCAUUCAGGGUCAGCGAUGUGGAUGACUUCAUACUGUGGGCGGGCGAUGAGCAAGUCACUCGAACCAUCCGAUGGAAGACCAUCACCUCUAAGGAGGAAGCCUUGACCUUCAUCAAAGAAGUCUGCAUCCCCCACCAUUUUUGUCGAUCCAUAUGUAUAGAUGACCGCUCCAUCGGCUUUGUUUUGGUCAUCAGGUGGUCGGGCGCCGACAGACAUAAGGCGGA